CGGCCUCACACCUCAGGAUAGGGCCUCUGGGGUCCAGAGAAGCGCCUCCAGCCAGAGUAAACGGGUGGGCUGGGAUCCCAAGAGAAGGGGGACACCGGCGUUAACACACUCCGACAGCGCCAAGCCCUGAACACGGCGUCCUUGCCUGCGCGAUGGGCAGGACUGCACGCCCCGCGCCCCAGCAGGGGAGACCCAGGCUCCGCAGGGUGGGCUGCCCCGGGCUGCAGCAUGCGGCCGCUGGGUCCGCGUCCCCCUGCAAGACCGCGGGCUCCCUGCGUCCAGGAGCGGCUGCGUGAGGUUUGGUCUGUGCUUACCGCUGAGGGGAUGUGUCUUUCCGACCAUAACCUGGACCUUCUGGAGAAAGAUUCCAGGUCUCCUGUCCCGCCUUGUCCCUGCCGGUCCUCUCCUCAGGAUCCUGGGUCCCUCCUGCCCGACUGUGGGAUCGGGUGCAGGUCCCUCUGGCUGCUGUGUGGAAACUACGUCGGGGUAGGGAGGGCAACAAAGUAGGAGCUGUGGCCGGUAGGUCGUGGUCCAGCUGGAAGAUGGCCAUGCAGCCUGGGGGUGCAGUCUUACGGAGGAGUCCACUUGGUGUCGGGGCAUAUCCGUUUUUGGAGUUGCAUUGUAGUUCACGGUAUGGAGGAGUCAUAAUUUACUUAACCAGUGAUGGGUCCAGUCUUGCAAACUUCUGUGGGUGGACCCCCCACGGGCCAGUGCUGUGGCCAGGUCCAGAACGAGGCAGGGGCCAAAGGCCAUUGGUUAUGAUGUUGCAGGAAGAAGAGCAGGACUGGCUGCAUCGCUUCGGCUGGUGACGCCGUGUGGAAAAGACCCCACGUUUGUGUGGACGGGGUCCGACAGGAUGCAGACGAAUGGGAAACGAUGCUGGCUUAGGUUGGGGGAUUGUCCUACCCACGCUCAAGAGCAACUGCUGUCAAGAUAGCAAAGGAAUGUUUUUAUACCAUGUUUAUAAUUUUAACAAGCUACAUGUUAAAAUGUAAAGCACAUGUGUAAUGCCCACCCUCUUGACCCCUGUCCCUGUGGGAUGGGGACUGUGCCUGCCCUGCGCCUCCAUGCCCCGUCUGUGUGGCCUGCUUCAUGGCCACCCGGACAGUGCGCACUGUGACAGGUCUCAUGUUCAGAUUACCUCCACCACCCAUCCCUCUCCCAACAAAGUCACAAGGGCUUGUGGGACCACUUCACUACCCCCGUGCCCCUCACAGAGAGCCAGCCGUCCUGUAGCUCAGUUCCAGGGCUCUCUGUUUUCCACAGCAAGGGAAAGGGAGGAAACUGAGAUUUAAUGAGCAUCUACUGGGCACCAGAAUGCAGGGAAAAUAAGGGGCUGAAUUAGAGGGUAAAGUCAGUGGUAAAUUGGUAUUCAGAAAUCAUGUCAUCAAGUCUGACAUAUUCUUGAAAGUGGGCAGCAAAUUUGAAACUGAAUUUCAUGGUGGCCAAAGCAGAUCAGCUUAGAAAACGCAGAGUCGUGAAUAUAUGCAUUCUUCCUUUAUGACAAAGCUGGCAAAGCAGUAGGAAAGGAAGGGCUUUUUAGUAAACAGAGCUGAAUUAUUGAGUGUUUAAAUGGGAGAAAACAAACGUUGACCCCCGUCUGACACCAGACACGAAAGAAUCAAGUGGAUUGGGUUCAGACAAAGCAACACAUCUUUAAAAGAUAAUACGGGUGUAUCAGUCAGGGUUCAAUGAGAGAAGCAGGACCAGUAGGUGGUCAUGUGCGUGCAUGUGUGUGUGCGUGUGUGUGUCUUUAUCACAUGACUUACACAGUUGUGGGGACUGGAGAAGCAAGUCUGAGGUCUUGAAGUCUGCCGGGCAGUUGGUCAGGAAGGAAGACCCAGUGGCUGUGGAGUGUGGCGCAGGGAAUGGCUGAGCCCUUUCCUUUGUAAGGGCCUUCCCACAGAUCGAGUCCGGCCCCUCAGGAUACGCUCCCUUUGCAUUAGCUGACUUGGGGCUUCAGUCACGUCUGCGAAUCCCUUCCCAGUGCUACCGGGCCAGCGUUUGGACAACUGGGGAAGGUGUGAGCGCUCCGUGCUUGCUGCCUCUCUUCUGUCCUCCAGCUCCCAGGAGAGACUAUCCCUUGUCACCCCUGUGGACCCCCCCAACUGAAAGCCUAACUAGAAAGGGUGUUCUGAGGACUGCAGGUCAGCCCAGCCAAGCCAUCACACACAAGAAAAUAGCUUUAUGAUUUUAGGGUGGCCGGAGGUUUUUAAAGCAGGAUAGGAAAAGCACAAACCAUAAAGAGACUGAUAAAUUGUGCUACGUUAAAAUUAAGAAUGUCUGUUCAUCAAAGAUACCAUUAAGAAUAUCCAAAGGCAAGCUAAAGCUGGGAGAAGGUAUUUGCAGCACAUAUAACUGAGCGG
ensembl:lncRNA